ACACAGUAUCAAAUCGGCUUCAAAAUAUUAUAAAUUAUACACAACGCUGUGCUUAACGAAUAGCCCACAGAGUGCCAGUUCACUAAACAAAUCAGGUAGCACUAAAUAUCUUAUCCGUUUACUGUACCAUACCACACGAAGGCCAAACACACACUAAAACUUGCUUGGGAAACAUCUGAAUUACCAACCAAAUGGUGAACCAGCAAAGAGACAAGUAGCCGGCCGACAAGCCCAACACCAAAAGUACCAAGCAACGGCGGCGGCAACGACCAAGAAACCACGAAACUCAGCAGCGGUUAGUCAGCCAGCCAGCCAGCCAGCCAAGUCAAGUCAAGACGAAACGAAAAAACGGGCUACAAGGCGCGCGAAAACAAAAACAAAAUUGUGCUAUGCAGACACACACAUACACGCGUAUAUGGACAUAUGUCAGCAAGUAUGUGUCUGUUGAUUUACUUAUGGGUUUGUGUGUGUGCAAAGGCACUCUUCUGUUUUCCUACUUUGCUUUCGCCUUCGUCUUUUCGCCUUUCGACUUUAACGAGUGCGAGUUUGAAGGGUUAACUUACGAUGUCUGCCACUCUCCUGGAAGCAGAACGGCACUCUUAAGCAAGGAUCAUACGAUUUGUAUAUUUUAGCAGUAGCACAGUGUGGUAUUACCGAGUCGUAAGGCGCGGACGCGGGCCGCCACGAAGCUACGCAAAUUUAAUGUUUGAAAGAGCAAUAAUG